AAGGAACUGGUUUUGGCAAGACGAUCCUCAUCGGGGAUCAAUUCGUUUUGGAUGAAGUGCCCGCGAUCGUUUCGGCGAUUCCCUUC
rnacentral:tRNA from 1 species